UGCAGUCGUGAUGUUCCUUCAUCUCAGCUGCUCUGUGAGCUGGGUGCUGCCCGUGUCCCCCUUUACCUGGGUCAGCUUUGCUUGGCAGUAGGGUGGUGACAGGAAAAUAAAGUAUUUCCAGAUGUCAUCUUCCAAAACAAUCAUGUCUUAUGUGGAUAACAGCUUUCAUCGGGCUGGGAUGAUGAAUCCGGUUUAAAAGACACAACAGG